UCCGAGUUGACCCCGGCAGUCUCCCAUGAGUCCCCGGCAUUACCCGCUGGCAACAUGGAACGAGGGUUGCGCUCGUUGCGGGACUUAACCCAACAUCUCACGACACGAGCUGACGACAACCAUGCACCACCUGUGAACAGUCCCUUGCGGACCCGACAUCUCUGCCGGAUUACUGCCCAUGUCAAGCCUUGGUAAGGUUCUUCGCGUUGCAUCGAAUUAAUCCGCAUGCUCCGCCGCUUGUGCGGGCCCCCGUCAAUUCCUUUGAGUUUUAGCCUUGCGGCCGUACUCCCCAGGCGGGGCGCUUAAUGCGUUUGCUGCGGCACGGAACUCGUGGAAAGAGCCCCACACCUAGCGCCCAACGUUUACGGCGUGGACUAC
rnacentral:misc_RNA from 1 species